GCAACAACGCGGCCUUUUGCAGCCGGGAGCGGACGCGGUGGGUGCAAGUCAGCGUUUGUCUUGUGCGCUAAAAUGAUAGUUGGGACAGAACUUUUUCGCUUAAUCAAAAUGCAGGAAUUCCAAGAGUCUCGUUAUAGUGGUAGGUCAGGAUCAUUUUUGAAAACUUUGAGGCAGGCGAGCCCGAGCGGACUGAGGCGCUCGUUAGAUGGCGGGGUGACCACGUGGAGCCCUGGAGUCUGAGCCCCAGCCAGCGCGGGCCGGGCGCCCUCGGAGAUAGAUUCGGCGCACCUGUUGACUGCGUGAAGGGCUGUUAGCUGCUCUGUCGGCGAGUCUAGUCUCGCUACGAAUUAGUUCCAGAGCCCUCUGAGACCCGUCGCAGCGAGACCUAGCUGGAACUUGAACUAGAUUGUUCGAUGGGUGAUGAAGAACGUUAAAAAAGAUGCCAAGAAGUCCAAAGAGAUAAAGGUGAAUAAUGGCAGCGUCCUGCAGUGGAUCACCAAACUUAUUGCUGGACAGAAUGAGUGUUUAGAAUGGUUUUUUUUUUUUUUUUUUUAGAAACUGGUACUGUGUUUUCAAUGUAGCACCUCAAUUUGAAGGUGCUUCUUUGAUGCAAUGAAAUAAAAUGCUUAAUUUUUGUAGGUAA